AACGACAGGUAGUGCCCGGUGUUUACGAGGAUGCAUUCACUGCAUACUGUUGCAUUCCUGACGAACGAAGCAAGAGAUCAGCAAACAACGACAACGUUUUCACAUGGACCUUUUCUCUGUCCAUCAGCAACAACGGAGAAUCAUACAGUCUAGAACGAAACAUAGUCGUCUAUACUCCGCGGUGUCAAGACCGGGUACUCAACACACAACAAAUUCAAUUUCGUUUAAAGUCACAUUUCUGUUACAUCAACUCCGAAUGUGUAGCGGAAAAUACAUCGAUGACAAACGAUGGAUGUCACACGUGCAAACCACAGACUAACCAAUACAAUUGGACGAACAGUUGUGGAGAUUCAAAUACCGAGGUUG